rnacentral:rRNA from 1 species
GUUGACCUCGGAUCAGGUAGGAAUACCCGGUGAACUUAAGCAUAUCAAUAAGCAGAGAAAAAAAGAAAAA